rnacentral:rRNA from 1 species
AUUGAACGCUGGCGGCAUGCUUUACACAUGCAAGUCGAACGGCAGCACGGGCUUCGGCCUGGUGGCGAGUGGCGUACGGGUGAGUAAUAUAUCGGAACGUACCCAGAAGUGGGGGAUAACGUAGCGAAAGUUACGCUAAUACCGCAUACGAUCUAUGGAUGAAAGCAGGGGACCGCAAGGCCUUGUGCUCCUGGAGCGGCCGAUAUCUGAUUAGCUAGUUGGUGAGGUAAAGGCUCACCAAGGCGACGAUCAGUAGCUGGUCUGAGAGGACGACCAGCCACACUGGAACUGAGACACGGUCCAGACUCCUACGGGAGGCAGCAGUGGGGAAUUUUGGACAAUGGGCGCAAGCCUGAUCCAGCAAUGCCGCGUGAGUGAAGAAGGCCUUCGGGUUGUAAAGCUCUUUUGUCAGGGAAGAAACGGUAGAGGCUAAUAUCCUUUGCUAAUGACGGUACCUGAAGAAUAAGCACCGGCUAACUACGUG